CGCACAUUGCGCCCUAUGGUAUUCCGUAGGGCAUGCCUGUUCGAGCGUCAUUACACACCUCAAGCUCUGCUUGGUAUUGGGCGUCGUCCCCUAAACGGACGUGCCUCAAAGACCUCGGCGGUGGCGUCUUUGCCUCAAGCGUAGUAAUACUUUUAUCUCGCUUUGGAGUCGAAGGCGUCGCCCGCCGGACGAAACCUUUAUUAUUUCUAUCAAGGUUGACCUCGGAUCAGGUAGGGAUACCCGCUGAACUUAA
rnacentral:misc_RNA from 1 species